rnacentral:rRNA from 1 species
AGCAGCCGCGGUAAUUCCAGCUCCAAUAGCGUAUAUUAAAGUUGUUGCAGUUAAAAAGACUCGUAGUUGAAUUUCGGGAUCAAGUUGUUGGUCGUGCCUCGGUACGCACUGGUGACAUUGGUUUCUCCCUUCUGAAGAACCUUGAUGUCAUUAAUUUGGUGUCUUGGGGAAUCAGGACUGUUACUUUGAAAAAAUUAGAGUGUUUAAAGCAGGCUCACGCUUGAAUACAUUAGCAUGGAAUAAUGAAAUAGGACGUUUGAUUCUAUUUUGUUGGUUUCUAGGAUCGACGUAAUGAUUAAUAGGGAUAGUUGGGGGCAUUAGUAUUCAAUUGUCAGAGGUGAAAUUCUUGGAUUUAUUGAAGACUAACUACUGCGAAAGCAUUUGCCAAGGAUGUUUUCAUUAAUCAAGAACGAAAGUUAGGGGAUCGAAGACGAUCAGAUACCGUCGUAGUCUUAACCAUAAACUAUGCCGACUAGGGAUCGGAUGAUGUUAAUUUUUAAUGACUCAUUCGGCGUCUUAC